rnacentral:rRNA from 1 species
UACGGAGGGUGCAAGCGUUAUCCGGAUUCACUGGGUUUAAAGGGUGCGUAGGUGGGGAGGUGAAGUCAGCGGUGAAAUCCCCGAGCUUAACUUGGGAACUGCCAUUGAUACUAUCUACUCUUGAAUACCUUGGAGGUGAGCGGAAUAUGUCAUGUAGCGGUGAAAUGCUUAGAAUAUGACAUAGAACGACCAAAUUGCGAAGGCAGCUCACGUACACGGGUCAU